AAGUUACCUACUUCGUACUUUUAAAGCUUCAAAAUUUUUAAACAUUUUUUAUUAUUAGAGUUACAAACCAAAUAACAAACUCCUGAAACAAUAUCUCUUUGACCAUUUGUAAUCUUUGAAUUAAUAUUAUUAUUUUAUAGGGACCAUCCAAUUCUAAGGAUCACUCAAUUUUAGAGGGGACCAUUAUCAUCAUAAUCGUACAAUUCUUUAAUUUAAGAACUAAUUAAAACGUCGAAAGCACAAAAUUCUUUAUGCUUUCAAAAGUAUAGUGACCCUACAAUCAACCUCUUUUAUUAGUUCUAACAUUUGAAUUGAUAUUAUUAUUCUAGAAAAAUCACUCAAUUCUAGAAAAAAUCGCAAUCUUUCCAAUCGUACAAUCUUUGAUUCAAGGAUUAAAAAGUCGAGAAUAUCAAAUUUUCUAUGCUGGCUAUAGUAUAGUAGCUCUACACGUAUAAUAGAUAGUAUAAUAAUCAUGCUUUGUCUGUAUGCAGU
rnacentral:lncRNA from 1 species